rnacentral:rRNA from 1 species
GACGAACGCUGGCGGCGUGCCUAAUACAUGCAAGUCGAGCGAAGUUUUUCUGGUGCUUGCACUAGAAAAACUUAGCGGCGAACGGGUGAGUAACACGUAAAGAACCUGCCUCAUAGACUGGGACAACUAUUGGAAACGAUAGCUAAUACCGGAUAACAGCAUUAACUGCAUGGUUGAUGUUUAAAAGUUGGUUUUGCUAACACUAUGAGAUGGCUAUGCGGUGCAUCAGCUAGUUGGUGGGGUAAAGGCCUACCAAGGCGACGAUGCAUAGCCGACCUGAGAGGGUGAUCGGCCACACUGGGACUGAGACACGGCCCAGACUCCUACGGGAGGCAGCAGUAGGGAAUCUUCCGCAAUGGGCGAAAGCCUGACGGAGCAACGCCGCGUGAGUGAAGAAGGAUUUCGGUUCGUAAAGCUCUGUUGUUAGGGAAGAAUGAUUGUGUA